AACGAACGCUGGCGGCAUGCCUAACACAUGCAAGUCGAACGAGAUCUUCGGGUCUAGUGGCGCACGGGUGCGUAACGCGUGGGAAUCUGCCCUUUGGUUCGGAAUAACAGUUGGAAACGACUGCUAAUACCGGAUGAUGACGAAAGUCCAAAGAUUUAUCGCCAGAGGAUGAGCCCGCGUAGGAUUAGCUAGUUGGUGUGGUAAAGGCGCACCAAGGCGACGAUCCUUAGCUGGCCUGAGAGGAUGAUCAGGCAGACUGGGACUGAGACACGGCCCAGAAUCCGACGAGAGGGAGAGGUGGGGAAGAUUGGAAAAUGGGCGAACGCCUGAGCCAGCAAUGCCGCGUGAGUGAUGGAGGCCUUAGGGUUGGAAAGCUCUUUUACGCGGAAUGAUAAUGACAGUACCGGGAGAAUAAGCUCCGGCUAACUCCGUGCCAGCAGCCGCCGUAA
rnacentral:rRNA from 1 species